rfam:Lupinus angustifolius cultivar Tanjil contig_18098, whole genome shotgun sequence.
ACAUUCAGUCAUACCGAUACUAAUACUAGUGCUCCGGAUCUCAUCAGAACUCUAUAAUUAAGCAUGUUUGGACGAGACCAUUACUGAGAUGGGUGACCUAGAUCAUGUGUUGCACCUC